ACCGUUGACAAAAACCCAAAACCCCGAAAAAAGUGGAUAGAGGAGCGAAAACAGUCAGAUAGCCAAAAUCUUCAGUUUCAGUUUGGAAAAAACAAUAAAUGGAGACUGUGCGAAGCUUAUAAUGACCUACACGGGCUAGCACCGGAGCUGAAGACUCCAUUUGACGCACGCACCGGCGGUGUUACUGGUUGGCCAGCAGACCGAUGGAAAGAGGUCACGCACUGGUGGAAGGUCUCAUGAGUUGGCGGUGACACCAAAUCUCGUCGCCCCAUUAUUCUCCAUAUGAAAUAUGAUCCUGAAUGCGAGGUCCCUUCUUGCUAUCUUGUCUCUGAUGAUGACGCCACUGUUGCCCAGGAGAAAUCUCUCCAUGAAAUUCAGAUUGAUCCUGAGCUCUCAAAGACUGUUGUUGGCUCAACAAAGCGUGACACGAGAAUACCCUAGUUUGCUCGCUCAUCUGACGUUGAAGAAUUCCUUUCACUGCCAGUUCAUAAACUUGAUGGUUUCAUGGUGGGCGGGUCUCCCUUCUUUACAACUGUUCCUUCUGGAAGAGUUGGUUCUGCCCAUGAUUCAGUUUAUAGCUCCAAUGAUGAAUUUAAGCAGAAUGCAGGGAUGCGCUUUUAUGGGGGUGCACUAUAUCAUCAUGCAAUGGCAGAAUUCUGUUUUGUUGCUGGGGGAAUCAACUGUCUUCAAAUUACAGGUGAAGAAAUUGCGAAUGCAUGUGGAGUUGAAGAUAUCCAUGAUGGAACUAACUACUCUAGGUAUCCUUGAGAUUGUUUGCUCUUUACCCCGUGGGAUCACAUGGAAUGUAUCUUUAUAAAUGCUUUAUAUGACAAAUUUUGGGAUUAAUUCCAAAUUAUUUUCUUUUGCUGCUUUCAAGUGCAUCCUGUCUAUUAGUGAACCAGCUUCCUGCAACUUUUCUUUCUCCUUGCAUCUACAUCUUUAAGCCUUGCAACAAAAAUUUGGAGUAAAUACACUGGGGUUUCAUCACAGACCAUGUCCAAGCAAAAGCCAGCUUCUAAAGAAGCAUGUCUCUUAACAGGGAGAAUCUAUCCACUUUUAUUUCAAAACUAAUAUCCAUCCUCCUUCGAUACAGUUAGGUUGUAGGCUUUUGUGUGUCUUGAAGAGAUUACUUCCGAUCUCUGUCUAUCUUCUUCAAGUGUGGGUUCUAUGUUGGUCUUUAUCCUUUAAAUCUUUAGGACAUUCUGAAUUGUCAUUUCAUUCAUUCUUUUAUCUCGUACCUGAACUUGUUUGUAACAGAAAGAUGGUGAGUAUCGAAGUGGUCAAGAUGUAUUCCUCAAGCGUGCUGCUUCUGCCUUCAGCAACUUCACAGAAUCUACAAAAAGGGCAUGCCAUGAAAAUUUUUCUGCUUGUUCCUUUUACAACAGUUCUGUUUUCUGUAUGUAUAAUAAAAAACUGCUAGCCCUUGAUUUAGUUCUCUGAGAUAUCUUUCUACCAUGGCGGGCUAAAUUUCCAAUGUACUGAGUGCCUAAGGAGCAUUGUAGAAUAGAUAAAAAAAAAAAAAGAAGGUAAGAGAAUAGCAUACCCAAAACAACACUUGAAAUGGUAUCGUAUAAAUCCAUGGUUGCAGGAAGCCCAACCAUGUCCCCCCCCCCCUCCCCUGAGUUUACCUAGACAAAGCAUGACACUUUGUAGCUGGUGUUCAUCAGAGUUUAUUUUGCGCUUGCUGUUUUUGUUUAAUAUUUGCUGCAGAUGCAUGGAAGAUUUAGGAAGCGCCACACGUAAUGGAACACCACAAAAAGAAUCAGGCUAGGCAACGCCAAUUCUGAGACUCCUUUGGUGGAACAGAGCAGUCUGCUAUGGGAGGUAAUCCUAUAUCUGCUGGUCUACAGUCCUCCAUGGGUCAGCUGCCAAUGAGAAGCAUGGCAAUCAACCAAGUGCAGAUGUCAAGCUCAGUCGUUUGGCUUCAGGCAUUGACUCAAGCUCAGCAGUUCAGAUAACGGAGACGCGCCUUGUAAUUUGAGGCUUGACAUCCGCUCUUUACCCGGUGGUGACAUUUUUUUGCAGAUCAAGACUUAAGAGGCUCAAAGAGAAAUUUAGGCUGAUAAGUGAGCACCUUGCUUUGAAUCAAUUCAAGGCCGUCUCCAUUGCAUGAGUCCUAAGCCAGAGUGACACUUACAGCAAUCGUGGAUGUAUGAACUAAUUAAGUUAUUUUUCUCCAUUGAAUGAGCACCUUGCAUUUCUUUUCUUUCUACAGACCCGUUUUAUCAGCACGUUACUCUUGUGCUGCACGGUGAAUCUUGGGUGUGAUUGCAUUGUAAUAACUAUAGAAGAUACAGCAUAAGAUUCUUUGUUUAAUAUUUCAUAUCAGUUGUGUAGUGUAAUCCAAUUUAUUUUGUGUUUA